UAAGUCACUUUAUCUUUAUGGUAAAUGUGAGAUGCAGUGUAUGGAACGUCUAUAAUCUAGUAUGACAAAUUAACGAUUUAAGUCCCUCUCAAAAGAGGCCAUUUACCCAUAGAGGGUGCCAGGCCCGUAUAACGUUAAUGAUUAUUAGAAGAUGUUUCCAAAGAGUCGUGUUGCUUGAUAGUGCAGCACUAAGUGGGUGGUAAACUCCAUCUAAAACUAAAUAUAACCAUGAGACCGAUAGUAAACAAGUACCGUGAGGGAAAGUUGAAAAGAACUCUGAAUAGAGAGUUAAAUAGUACGUGAAACUGCUUAGAGGUUAAGCCCGAUGAACCUGAAUAUUCAUUAUGGAAAAUUCAACAUAUGCCUAUAGUAUAUAAAAAAAUACUAUAGUAAUAUUGUGCAUUUUUUCCAUAUAAGAACAUUGUAAUCUAUUAACAUUAUAUUAUAUAUUUAUCAUAAGAUCAUUGGCUUAAGUUUAUUCAAAUUGAGUUGCUUGCAAUUUAACAUUGAAUAAAAUGCUUAUGAUUUGAUAAAGUGUCGAUAGAUUAAUUAAAUUAGUGCUUAAAUUCUAAAAGAAUUUUACAAUUGCAUAAAUUUCUUAUGAUUUUUUGUGUAUAUUGUAUGCGCUUAAUUGAUUAACAAUGCGAUAGAUUCAGGAUACCUUCGGGACCCGUCUUGAAACACGGACCAAGGAGUCUAACAUAUGUGCAAGUCAUUGGGAUUAUAUAAUUAAACCCAAAGGCAUAAUUAACUUAACUUUUUAUAUAUAAUGGGAUUAGUUUUUAGUCUAUUUCAUUAUAGUCUAUUGAUUCAAUCCCGGGGCGUUCUAUACGGUUAUGUAUAAUAAUAUUUAUAUUAUUUAUACCUCUAACUGGAGCGUACCUUGAGCAAAUAUGCUGUGACCCGAAAGAUGGUGAACUAUACUUGAUCAGGUUGAAGUCAGGGGAAACCCUGAUGGAAGACCGAAACAGUUCUGACGUGCAAAUCGANNNNNNNGAUAGAAUAAUGUAGGUAAGGGAAGUCGGCAAAUUAGAUCCGUAACUUCGGGAUAAGGAUUGGCUCUGAAGAUUGAGAUAGUCGGGCUUGAUUGGGAAGCAAUAACAUGGUUUAUGUACUCGUUCUGGAUAAAUAGAGAUUUUCGGAUCUUGUUCCCCGGAUAGCAGUUACGUAACCAAUUGUGGAACUUUCUUGCUAAAAUUUUUAAGGAAUUAUCGAAAGAUAUUAUUCUUUUUAAAUUAUAACGAUUAUCAAUUAACAAUCAAUUCAGAACUGGCACGGACUUGGGGAAUCCGACUGUCUAAUUAAAACAAAGCAUUGUGAUGGCCCUAACGGGUGUUGACACAAUGUGAUUUCUGCCCAGUGCUCUGAAUGUCAAAGUGAAGAAAUUCAAGUAAGCGCGGGUAAACGGCGGGAGUAACUAUGACUCUCUUAAGGUAGCCAAAUGCCUCGUCAUCCAAUUAGUGACGCGCAUGAAUGGAUUAACAGAAUUCCUCCUGUCCCUAUCUACUAUCUAGCGAAACACAGCCAAGGGAACGGGCUUGGAAAAAUUAGCGGGGAAAGAAGACCCUGCUGAGCUUGACUCUAGUCUGGCAGUGUAAGGAGACAUAAGAGGUGUAGAAUAAGUGGGAGAUAAAUAAUUUCGGUUGUUUGUCAACAAUGAAAUACCACUACUCUUAUUGUUUCCUUACUUACUUGAUUAAAUGGAACGUGUAUCUUUGCCUAGCCAUUUUACGGAUAUAUUUAUAUGUCUUAUGGUAUUGGGUCUAGAUGCAAGCUUCUUGAUCAAAGUAUCACGAGUUUGUUAUGCAAUUGUAAACAAAUUUUGAUGAAACAAAAAGCUUUCGGGUUUUUUGUUAUAAAUGAAAUUUGGUAUAACUCCAACACUCAGAUAUGAUCCAAUUCAAGGACAUUUCCAGGUAGGGAGUUUGACUGGGGCGGUACAUCUCUCAAAUAAUAACGGAGGUGUCCCAAGGCCAGCUCAGUGCGGACAGAAACCACACAUAGAGCAAAA
rnacentral:rRNA from 1 species